rnacentral:lncRNA from 1 species
UUGGCUAGUGGCGCCAGUUCGUCAAUGAGGCAACAUGGCGUCGCCGACGGUCGCUUCGCGUUUGUACUCCUUGCUGUUCCACAGGACCUCCACCUUCGCCCUCACCAUCGCAGUGAGCUCCCUGUUCUUCGAGCGGGCCUUCGAUCAGGGUGCAGACGCGAUCUAUGAUCACAGCAAGGAGGGGAAACUGUGGAAACACAUAAAGCACAAGUACGAGAACCAGGAGUAACUCCUUGCGCCUUCCGGCCAGAAGGGACAGGCACCCGUCAGCUGUCAGCCUGGAGCUGGGGCCUCAGCCUGAGGAUGAGCCUCAAGUCUCUUCAUGGACCACCAGUGCGUUGGCAAGCAGCGCCUCCACCGUACAAACGGACUCUAACUUCUGCUGUGUUUGAAGUGCAUUUGACUACGGCUGUCAACACAUAAAUGUAAAUUGUUCAUGCGGAAAAAGAAAAAGAAAAA